GAGCUUCGUGAAAAAAAAAAAAGUGAUUUAUCGUGUUGACAUGAAAACCGAUAUGCCGGACAUUAAGCAAGGAGAGGUAAAAAUUGAAAAUCGCCGGGAACCGUCGAAACAAGGUUCGAGAUCGAGAGUGUGUCAGGAGCAUGAUGAACAGGACUGUCUAAGUGAAAAUGAACACGAGUUCGAAUCGCUGGAGUACGAGGAGGAUGUAUAUUAUUCGAAUUUAACGGCAACGCCGAGUUUCGAUGACAUUGACGAGCUCAGUGACGACGUGGACGAAAUCGUUGUCCAUUGUUGGCGGGAUUCGAACGGUGAUAUAGACGAGAUCGUAGUGGACGAUGCAAAUUUGUCCGUCGAGACGCAGUUUUUGACGAAUGAUGCCGAGGACGGCGCCACUAAUCGAGACCAGAAGAAGAAGAAAAAAUCAGUUCGAGUGAUAUUCCAGGAUUUUUCGAAGCCGUACUUGGCCAAAAUUAGCAACAGUCAAAAUUACAAGAAGUUCCUCGAACUGGUAAAAGGAGAAGACGCCAGUCUCCACUCAGCUGGUUAUAUUUCGCCAACAUCAGAUAACGUGGUGAACGAGUUGCAAGGACUUUCUUUGGAAGAACAAAAUCGUCAGAAGGCGGAAUGGAGCGCAGAAUUAGCCAAAGUGGAGGAAGAGAUUCAAACCCUGAGGCACGUGCUGGCGAACAAGAUCAGAGUCUCUCAAGAUUUGAAGAGGAAGCUGGGUAUCAGCGUUUGGAAGGAGAUCACUGAUGAUAUGAAUCAAGGGUUGAAAAACGUUAAGGAGAGUCAAGUACAUGUAGAACACUUUUCUUUGACUUUUGGUUGGGUUCUCAUUCAGUUAUCAGAACGUCGGCGAGAAACUCGGUCAGAUCACCAAGGCAGUCACCGACAACAGUUUAUUCCAGAAGACGGAGUCUGUGUUCAAGACAACGGCUGAGAAGACGACCAGCAUUCUUGGCGGCUUCGGCAGUGGAUUAUCCAUGAAGCUUGGCCAGAUGCGCAAUUCAGACAGUUUUCGUUCAUUGGAGGAACGAGUUGGGUCUGCCUAUGAGAACAUGAAGACGAAAGUUGUGCCUUCAAGAUCCAACUCGAUGCAGAGUUUCAACGAGAUGCUUCGAGACACCGAUUCGUUACGUUCUGCACCAACAGCAACCAGCCCGACCAUUCCUGAAGAUAAACUUCUGUCUUAGAGCUGGGCCUCUCGAGUCUACAUCGAUUUCUGCCUCUUCUCUGCGUAACAUGCUGAUGCGUCGAUCCACGAUGCCGGUUGUUUCGCUCUAUGCUACUCACUAUCACUUUCCACCUGCGUAUUGCUAUGCGAUGUCAUAUAAUCGAUCAUCUAUUAAAAAAGAAAAAAAAAAAAAAAAAAGAAAAAGAAAAAAAAUGAAAUUGUGGAAAAGAGCAAAAAGAGUUGGCUUCGCGGAACUCGAUUAAUAUGGUACAACUCGGAUGAUUCGUGUCAUUUGGAUGUCUCCUCGUGUGCACAAAAUUGUGUAGGACAUUGGACAUUGAUAAUUGCAACUUGACGCUUCUUUAAAACUCAGUAAGUUGCACAAUAAAUCUAUUAAAGCGAGAGAUAAUUUAUUUUCUGAUAUAUAUUUAUUUCUUUUUUUUUCUUAUUAAUUCUUUUUGUUCUAUUUCUAUUUUUUUUCUUAAAUAUAUAUAUAUGUAUAAAUUAAUUUUUAACGAUUAUGGAACUUGUGUGUAAUUUUAUAGACGUGAAAUCUUGAUGAUUUUUUGACGUGUUUUAUUUUUUUUUUUUUUUUCUCGAUUCGAAGAGAGGUGCAAGAUUUUUGAUUAUUGAUUAAUUCAUAGAGUUGAUUUUUGUACGACGACAAGAGCUUGUAUCAGAAAUUUGCGUUUCCCCUAACGAAGAUCAUGUUACUCAAGAAGAUGGCAAUUAAUUUCCUUAUUUUAUCGAACUUAUUUGCACUAUGGCGAUUUUUUAUAACGCAUAAUAUAUAAUAUAUCGUUGAUACGUACCUUAAUGUUUCAACCUGUUUUUUGCACCACGAAUUUGUGAAUGUAGGGCACACACGCUUUGAAGAUAGAUAUUUUACCUCGGUGGCGUUUCCUCCCGGACCUUAUACACACUGGACCUCGAUAAUAUUAAACAUCUGAAAUGGUAUUACCUCGAUGUAUUCCUAUGACAUACGAAUUCUGACUAUCAAUAUUCUUCGAUAAGACUCGUGCUUCGACAAUACUAUCUAUUUUCGUGUGAUAACAAGAGGAUCCAAUCUUCUUUAAUUUUGAAUUAGUGCGGUAAUAUUUUUAGAUUAUUCCUGGAUUAAUUUACACGGGACACAGGUAGCUGCCAUUAUCUUCUUAAGAUUCUUAAAUUUAUCCUAAAUGAAGAAAAAGAAAAAAUAUAUAUAUAUAUAUAUACUUAUCUUCAUACGUUAUUAAAUGUCUUUAUAAUUAUAUCAUAAAACAUUUUAUAACUCGUUACAUUUAACGAUAAAAACGAUAUCAAUCGUAAAAAAAAAUGAUAUUGCUAUAGCAAUUACGAUCAUGUUUUAUUAGAAUUGAUAUCUUUUAUCGUUGUAAAAAAUUAAUUAUAAAUUCUAACUUGAUAUUGUUAUUCAGUGCAAAAUCAAAUUCUUCGUCAAUGUGCUUUAAUAUAUAUAUAUAUAUGUGUGUGUGUAUUAACAAGAAUUGUUUUCGUUUUGAAGAGUUUAUGAAGAGUCUAUGGAUGGUUUAGAAGUAGUAGUCAAUGGAAGAACGAGGCUCCCCGUGUUCCGUGAUCAUUGAGCCUUACAAACUGACUUUCAAAAAAAAGAA